rnacentral:rRNA from 1 species
AGAGUUUCGAUCCUGGCUCAGGACGAACGCUGGCGGCGUGCUUAACACAUGCAAGUCGAGCGGUAAGGCCCCUUCGGGGGUACACGAGCGGCGAACGGGUGAGUAACACGUGAGCAAUCUGCCCUUCACACGGGGAUAACCACCGGAAACGGUGGCUAAUACCCGAUACGACCACUUCAGGCAUCUGAUGGUGGUGGAAAGUUCCGGCGGUGGAGGAUGAGCUCGCGGCCUAUCAGCUUGUUGGUGGGGUAAUGGCCUACCAAGGCAACGACGGGUAGCCGGCCUGAGAGGGUGACCGGCCACACUGGGACUGAGACACGGCCCAGACUCCUACGGGAGGCAGCAGUGGGGAAUAUUGGACAAUGGGCGAAAGCCUGAUCCAGCAACGCCGCGUGAGGGAUGACGGCCUUCGGGUUGUAAACCUCUUUCAGCAGGGACGAAGCGCAAGUGACGGUACCUGCAGAAGAAGCACCGGCCAACUACGUG